rnacentral:lncRNA from 1 species
UGCUUCCUCCGCUGCCGCCGCCACCGUCGCUGCUCCUCUUAGUGCCCGUCGGGAUGGUGCUGCUGCUCGCCUUUCUCGCUUUCGCCCCCUCUCACAACACCUUCGGAAACGCAAACUUUCCGCAAUGAAACAAAACAUCCAUCGGUACGUAUCUCGCGACCGCAAACACCUCUCAUUUGUCUCUUUUCCUCUUUCACCUUUACUUCCAGAAGCAUUAAAGGAAAGGAGAGGAAAGAUGAUAAAAAUGGAAAGCGACUAAAAGACAGAUUCCUUCUUAUCACUUACUGAUUAUUUGUUGGUUCUUCUACAUCAAAUACUAUUUCCAUCAAUGUUGUAUUUGAUUCUUCCCCUCAUAGGAUGAGUGAAUUAUUUUCUGGGAAGAGGCCUUAGGGAGAACUUUUGCUCUGCCCACGGCCAAAGAUCAAACACAAAUUUACAUGUGAAGAGGAAAUAAAUGGGAGAAGGGAACAAAAAGGGAGGCGCCCGUCGGAAGCAGGAUGAAAUA